rnacentral:rRNA from 1 species
AUUGAACGCUGGCGGCAUGCCUUACACAUGCAAGUCGAACGGCAGCACGGGAGCAAUCCUGGUGGCGAGUGGCGAACGGGUGAGUAAAGUAUCGGAACGUGCCCAGUCGUGGGGGAUAACGUAGCGAAAGUUACGCUAAUACCGCAUACGAUCUAUGGAUGAAAGCGGGGGAUCGCAAGACCUCGCGCGAUUGGAGCGGCCGAUAUCAGAUUAGGUAGUUGGUGGGGUAAAGGCUCACCAAGCCGACGAUCUGUAGCUGGUCUGAGAGGACGACCAGCCACACUGGGACUGAGACACGGCCCAGACUCCUACGGGAGGCAGCAGUGGGGAAUUUUGGACAAUGGGCGAAAGCCUGAUCCAGCCAUUCCGCGUGAGUGAAGAAGGCCUUCGGGUUGUAAAGCUCUUUCGGCAGGAACGAAACGCUCUAGAUUAAUACCCUGGGGUAAUGACGGUACCUGAAGAAGAAGCACCGGCUAACUACGUGCCAGCCGCCGCCGUAA